rnacentral:tRNA from 1 species
CGCAUAGCUCAGUUGGCAGAGCAGCUGACUCUUAAUCAGCGGGUCGUAGGUUCGAGUCCUACUGCGCC